rnacentral:rRNA from 1 species
GAUGAACGCUAGCUACAGGCUUAACACAUGCAAGUCGAGGGGCAGCAUGACCUAGCAAUAGGUUGAUGGCGAACGGCGCACGGGUGAGUAACACGUAUCCAACCUGCCGAUUAUUCCGGGAUAGCCUGUCGAAAGAAAGAUUAAUACUGGAUAGCAUAACGAGAAGGCAUCUUCUUGUUAUUAAAGAAUUUCGAUAAUCGAUGGGGAUGCGUUCCAUUAGUUUGUUGGCGGGGUAACGGCCCACCAAGACAUCGAUGGAUAGGGGUUCUGAGAGGAAGGUCCCCCACAUUGGAACUGAGACACGGUCCAAACUCCUACGGGAGGCAGCAGUGAGGAAUAUUGGUCAAUGGACGAGAGUCUGAACCAGCCAAGUAGCGUGAAGGAUGACUGCCCUAUGGGUUGUAAACUUCUUUUAUAUGGGAAUAAAGUGGGCCACGUGUGGCUUUUUGUAUGUACCAUACGAAUAAGGAUCGGCUAACUCCGUG